rnacentral:rRNA from 1 species
AAUAACUUACAGAAUCGCAUGGCCUUGACGUAGGGAUGGUCAUGUCAAAUUUCUGCCCUAUCAACUUUCGAUUGUAAGAUAGAGGCUUACAAUGGUCUGUGAAGCGGGUAACGGGGAAUUAGGGUUCUAUUCCGGAGAGGGAGCCUGAGAAACGGCUACCAAUCCAAGGAAAGGCAGCAGGCGCGCAAAUUACCCAAUGCUAAUUCAGCGAAGGUAGUGACAAUAAAUACUGAUACGGGGCUCUUUCGGGUCUCGUAAUUGGAAUGAGUACAAUCUAAAUCCCUUAACGAGGAACAAUUGGAGGGCAAGUCAUGGUGCCAGCAGCCGAGGAAAUUCCAGAUCCAAUAGCGUAUAUUAAAGUUGUUGCAGUUAAAAAGCACGUAGUGGAACCUUGGGCCUGGCAUGGCCACAGGAUCCGACAUCAACAGAGUAGAACUAGGUCCAGGCCAGGGCCUUACCUUCUUGGAGGAAGCAGAAUGCCCUUCACUGGGUGUAGUA